GCCUGGCAGAGCCGCGGGGGUCGCUGCGCUCCGAGCAGCCCGAACCGCUCGGCCAGAGGCAGCCCCGCCGCCCCGUCGGGGCGCGGCACCGGCUCCUCACCAACCUUCGAUCGGCUUCAGGCUCUUGCCACGUUCCCUGCUGACCACACCGCCAGUGCUGCCAACUCCCCCAGGUGCCCUCAGCCACCUUUGCCACAUUGACUCUAUUCAUCGAGAUCUUCCCCCGGCCUUUCACGGAAUGCUGGUCACUGCCACCCAACAGCCUUCCGUCCCUCCAGUGGCUGCUGCAACCAGCAAUGACUUCACUCACGGGGCAGAGUGCAAGAACUCAGACUUUUCCUGUGCUUUGAAAGGAGUUCCUGCAUUGAGCUUCUGAAGAACCCCAGCAGCGAGCUGCGUGCCAGCCGGUCACCCAGUAGCAGCUACUGGGAGGUGUUGGAGGCACCUAUUGGUGAGCAGAAACACUGCACAGCGCUGUUGGGUGGGAGAUUGCCGGGAACUGCAAACACUGCUUUUGUGGCUGCUUGAAGGCAGGUGGGAACAGACUGGAAUUAGGCCUCUAUGGCAUUGAUUUGUCACUGGAAGGUGCCAAGAGACAGAGAAAACACAGCUGCAGAAAGGACCCAUUUAGAAGAGAGAGGAGCAACCCCAUGGAUUUCCAUUGAUACACGUGGAGCUUAGCGAGAAUAAAAUAGCCAAGGAAGCCUCGAAACCAAGACAACCCCCGUGUGUUUACAUGUGCUAUAUAUAAACAGGAAAAUAAAGCAAAAGAAAACAGGAAAAUAAAG